rnacentral:rRNA from 1 species
UACGGGGGGAGCAAGCGUUGUUCGGAAUUACUGGGCGUAAAGCGCGUGUAGGCGGCCCUGCAAGUCGGGUGUGAAAUCCCACGGCUCAACCGUGGAAGUGCACUCGAAACUGCAGGGCUAGAGUCCUGGAGAGGAAGGUGGAAUGCUUGGUGUAGAGGUGAAAUUCGUAGAUAUCAAGCGGAACACCGGUGGCGAAGGCGGCCUUCUGGACAGUGACUGACGCUGAGACGCGAAAGCGUGGGGAGCAAACAGG